rnacentral:sRNA from 1 species
UUGUGUUCUGAUUCUUUCUCAGCAACUUUCUAAAGCUGAGAGUAAGUCCAGAGUCCUCGAAACUGAGCUCCAUUACACAAGAGAGGCUCUGAAAGAAAAGGCUUUGGUUUUUGAACACGUGCAAAGUGAGCUAAAGCAAAAACAGAGUCAAAUGAAGGACAUUGAAAAAAUGUACCAAAGUGAAUACAAUACAAUGGAAAAAUGCAUAGAAAAGCAGGAAAGAUUUUGUCAACUAAAAAAACAAAAUAUGUUGCUUCAACAGCAACUGGAUGAUGCUCGCAACCAAGCUGACAAUCAAGAAAAAGCAAUACUUAAUAUUCAAGCCAGAUGUGAUGCUAGAGUACAAAACCUUCAAGCUGAGUGCAGAAAGCGAUGUGUUUUACUAGAAGAAGACAAUAAAAGGUUGGUCAAUGAAUUGAAUCAUUUGAAAGAAAAAGAACGCCAAUAUGAAAAAGAGAAAGCAGAAAGAGAAGUAGCUGUGAGACAGCUUCAACAAAAACGAGAUGAUGUCUUAAACAAAUAAUCAGCAACAAAAGCUUUGCUGGAUGCUUCAUCGCGUCACUGCAUCUAUUUAGAAAAUGAGAUGCAGGAUUCAAGGAAGAAAUUAGACCAGAUGAGAAGUCAAUUUCAAGAAAUACAGGAUCAACUUUUACAGCUACUAUAAGAUGUACUAAGGAGAUGGAAGGCGACGUACAAAAGUAAAAUUUGAAGCAGCACACAAAAUAACUUGAGUAUUUAUAAAGCAAAAGAGCACUGUAGUUUGAAAAUUGUAUCAGUUAUGAUAAUAAGUAUAUCUUUGUGAAGCCAAAAAAGUUUCAUUUGUGAGCUAUAUUGAAAUACAUCAUUUUUCUCCAUUAUUCCUAAAUUUUGCAUAUUAUCAACAAAACACAGGUAGAAAAAUGUCACAGUAGGCCAAUCAUCUACUUUUGCGAUUGCUAAGAAUUUGUGUAAUUAUACCUUCAGAAGUUUGUUUAGAAUUUACAUGAUUUUAAAAAAAUUAUGUGUGAGAGUAAUUAUUUCAAAAUGCACAUUUUAGGCUUGAAGUAGAAAAUGCCAUGAUGAGAAAAACUAUUAAAAAACAGGAUGACCAAAUUGAGAGGCUUGAGAAAAUCCUGCAGCGUUCAAGUUUGAUGCUGCAGGUGUUCAAGAGCUAGAUGAAGGUAUG